rnacentral:tRNA from 1 species
AUAUUUUUAAUAUAUAAUAGUAUAUAUAGCUUCCAACUAUAAAGACCAAACUAAAGGAAAAUAUA